AUUGAACGCUGGCGGCAGGCUUAACACAUGCAAGUCGAGCGGAGAUGAGGUGCUUGCACCUUAUCUUAGCGGCGGACGGGUGAGUAAUGCUUAGGAAUCUGCCUAUUAGUGGGGGACAACAUUCCGAAAGGAAUGCCAAUACCGCAUACGUCCUACGGGAGAAAGCAGGGGAUCUUCGGACCUUGCGCUAAUAGAUGAGCCUAAGUCGGAUUAGCUAGUUGGUGGGGUAAAGGCCUACCAAGGCGAAGAUCUGUAGCGGGUCUGAGAGGAUGAUCCGCCACACUGGGACUGAGACACGGCCCAGACUCCUACGGGAGGCAGCAGUUGGGAAUAUUGGACAAUGGGCGGAAGCCUGAUCCAGCCAUGCCGCGUGUGUGAAGAAGGCCUUUUGGUUGUAAAGCACUUUAAGCGAGGAGGAGGCUACCUAGAUUAAUACUCUGGGAUAGUGGACGUUACUCGCAGAAUAAGCACCGGCUAACUCUGUGCCAGCCGCCGCGGUAAUAC
rnacentral:rRNA from 1 species